rnacentral:misc_RNA from 1 species
GAAAUGCGAUAAGUAAUGUGAAUUGCAGAAUUCAGUGAAUCAUCGAAUCUUUGAACGCACCUUGCGCUCCUUGGUAUUCCGAGGAGCAUGCCUGUUUGAGUGUCAUUUAAUUCUCAAUCCCCACCUAUUUGUUAUGAACUGGCUUGGUGGAUUGGAUGUGGGGGUAUUGUUUGCGGGCCUCUUCAGAGGUCGGCUCCCCUGAAAAGCAUUAGCGGACCCGUUUGCGGACCCGUCACUGGUGUGAUAAUUAUCUACGCCAAAGACAACUGCUCUCUGGUAGUUCUGCUUCUAAUCGUCCUUUAGUUGGACAAUCAAUAUUUGAAUGCUUGACCUCAAAUCAGGUAGGACUACCCGCUGAACUUAA